rnacentral:tRNA from 1 species
GAGGGGAGUGCUCAGUGGUAGAGCAUGUGCCUAGCAUGAAUGAGGUCCUGGGUUCAAUUCCCAGUACCUCCA